rnacentral:rRNA from 1 species
GACGAACGCUGGCGGCGUGCUUAACACAUGCAAGUCGAGCGGUAAGGCCCUUUCGGGGUACGACGAGCGGCGAACGGGUGAGUAACACGUGGGUGACCUGCCCUCCAGCUCUGGGAGUAAGCCUGGGAAACCGGGUCUAAUACCGGAUAUGACUCCAUGACGCAUGUUGUGGGGUGGAAAGCCUUGUGCGGCUGAGGAUGGGCCCGCGGCCUAUCAGCUUGUUGGUGGGGUGAUGGCCUACCAAGGCGACGACGGGUAGCCGGCCUGAGAGGGCGACCGGCCACACUGGGACUGAGACACGGCCCAGACUCCUACGGGAGGCAGCAGUGGGGAAUCUUGCGCAAUGGGCGAAAGCCUGACGCAGCGACGCCGCGUGAGGGAUGACGGCCUGU